UAGGGAAUAUUAGAAAUGGACGAAAGUCUGAUCUAGCAACACCGCGUGUGCGAAGAAGGCCUUCGGGUCGUAAAGCAUUUUUUGGAAGGAAUAGGAGGGAAUGUACUUCCAGAAUAAGUCUCGGCUAACUACGUGCCAGCAGCCGCGGUAACACGUAGGAGGCAAACGUUAUCCGGAUUUACUGGGCGUAAAGCGCGUGUAGGUGGUUCUGUAAGUAGGGCGUGAAAGCUCCUGGCUCAACUGGGAGAGGCCGUUCUAAACUGCAGAGCUAGAGGAUGGUAGAGGGAGGUGGAAUUCCGGGUGUAGCGGUGGAAUGCGCAGAUAUCCGGAGGAACACCAGUGGCGAAAGCGGCCUCCUGGCCCAUUUCUGACGCUCAGACACGAAAGCUAAGGUAGCAAACG
rnacentral:rRNA from 1 species